rnacentral:tRNA from 1 species
ACGGCGAUAGCUCAGCUGGUAGAGCAUCUGCCAGGUAUGCGGAGGGUCGCCGGUUCGGCUCCGGCUCGCAGCU